AAAAAGGCGCCUGAUCUCGCAAAUGAUAAAACCCUAACCCUCGGGCCCUCGGAGUCCCAAGCGAGAGAGAGAGCAGAUCUGAGAAAAUGAGAGAUGAGAAACACAGAGAAGGUCUGGAAAUCCUAACAAUGGCAUUGGCUCUGUGAUCGGAGCCUCGUUGUAGAUCAGAGAGUUGAGCGUGCAGAAAGAGAGAGACGACGGGCCAUGAAGAAAAGCUCCUCAAAUGCGAUUCUUGUUUUGCGAGGUUUACGCCUCGAUGUCCGCCAUUGAUCCACGAUCGGAUCCGUUCAAGAGCUCACCGUUGAAAUCGCGUAGUAAUUAACACCAAGACCAGAGAUCUGAUGGGGCUAGGUAUGGGGGUUCCAGGACCCGUCAAAGUUGAUUUUGAAAUUUAGGGUUUACGGAGAUCAUUGUUUUUUAUUUGAUGGAGCGACAUGCCUGAGGAAUUAAUUAGUAGGUUGGUCUUUAAUUCAAAGCAUUAAUGCGUUCGCUGUUUGCUUCCAUUCCAGGUACACUCCCUGGCAGCUUGCUCAAGAUGCGAUAGGGUGCGAUGUGGAUUGAUAGAGGCACUGACAGCGGGCCUUCCCUUAUCUUUAAGGUUUUACUCCUUACUCAUUCAAGCAUGUGGAUGUAUGUUUUUUAUUUUGUAAGAUAUCAUUUUUUGUUUUUAAAUGGAAACAAAAUGAACAAAAAUAAGUUUCCUGAGACAAAUAGCAUAGUAUUUUUGAAAAGUUGAACGAUAUAUCUGACAAAAACAAAAUUGGCACACAUUAUGGGAGCGCUUUGAAAUAGCAUAUUUUUGUUGAAUGAUAUAUUCUGAUAUGAGGGAGUGGGGGACGGUAUCUUACAUAUGGAAUCGGGACAUUGUGACAUUACAUCAGUGAUACACGGUGGUGUGGUGAAUUUAAAAGUAAUCAUUUGUAGCAAUAUCGGAUGGUCUAAUAACCAUGCAUAACUAGACUGUUCAACAACUUGAUGUUCCGACAAAAGAGUACAUCAGAUGAUGGGGUUUCUCUAACUUUCAAUGUAACAUGAGGUUGGAAGACAUUAGAACGUGAAAAAUCAUAAAUGGGUUAGUGCAUUAUUCAAAUAUUGUCGCACACAAUGUUCUAGGCAAUGUCAGUAAUCUGUGUGUUUUAAUUAUACUUCUCUCAACUUUUCAAGUUAGGAUGAGACUGCAAGGAGUCUCAGAAGUUCUCAGUAUUUUCUUUUGCAUCUAUGCACCCAAGCAAUGUUUAUAGGUUAUUACCAUGGAAAUAAAAUUUGAAGCAGUAAAUUUCAUAGAACUAAAAUUUAUCUGCCCACAUUGUCAAAUAUAUACUGAGGAUAGAUUGGCAGUUAUAAAUUUAGAAUCUAUUCAUCUCUCUCUCUCUGGUGUUCUGUUAUAUUUCCUAGUUGUAGUUGGUACAUAUCAAGCUUAAUUUGAUAUAAUUUCUCAUUGUAGCUGUUUAUCAUUCAUUUUUUGUUAUCUAUUGACAAAUACCUUUGGAUUGUGUAAAAGCUGGAAGAUAUAUAACAUAUAUAAUUUCUGUUUUAAUUGUAUUUCCGUGUAUUGGCAGGGAUUCUUUUUGGUAGUAAAAUGUUGUUUAAAAUGAAGUUAUGAAUAUGCAAAUGUAGUAAUAGAGUAUUUUAAAAUGUUUCUUCAGGAUGUUGUGUUCUGGUUUGCGAUCUUUAACAUUCAGUGGUUAUCACACACCAAAUGUUCGUCCUAUGAGUUGCAGUAGUUCUAUGUUCUUUUUUGUUAUUGACAUAACAAACUGUUCUUCUCAUCAUUCCCACUUGUUGCAUUUUAACGCUAAUUUUUUUUAAUUCUAUGGGUUUUUUGAUAUCCUUUUAUAUUGCUAGCUUUCGAGUUUGUCCACUUUUUACAGACAUUAUUCGUUCCUGAAAUGCCAGCGCUGGAGUCUGUUACUGUUAGCCUUUUAUUUUGUAGGUAAUUUUUGAGGAUUGAUGUUUCAUCUAGAGACGGGCAAUGAUGUUUUUUGUUAGUUCGUUCGUUAGUGUGACGCUUUCUUAUGUUUGUUUGUUGUGUCGUACACUUGCACAUUCAGUAGUUAUGCUUCGGUUCAACUUAUUAUUUUGCACAUUGACCAUCUGGUUCAUUUCCGUCUUAUUCCAUUUGUUAUUAUUUCUGAUGGUUCUAAUUUUUUUAUUAAUUGUUUAACUGUUUUUUUCCCAGGAUAUCUAAAACCAGAGGCUACGAGGAUUUCGCCUCAAAUUUCCUUUUUGUUUUUUAACUAAUUUCAUCUAAUUUUAAUCAAAACAAGUCUGUAUAAUAUCAGUUCUUUUAUUUGAGUGAUGCGGAUUGUAGUUUUUACUUGUAUUGUAUGCAUGGUUUUCUUUUUCUUUUGUUAGCCACUUGGAACAUAGAUUCGGCCCUAAGAUUUGUUGGAUCUAUAUUUCAGACCCGCAAUACGAAAUUGGGCCAAUGAAUCGCCCAUAUUCGAU
rnacentral:lncRNA from 1 species